AUGAACGCUGGCGGCGUGCCUAAUACAUGCAAGUCGAGCGCACAGACGAGGAGCUUGCUCCUCUGACGUUAGCGGCGGACGGGUGAGUAACACGUGGAUAACCUACCUAUAAGACUGGGAUAACUUCGGGAAACCGGAGCUAAUACCGGAUAAUAUAUUGAACCGCAUGGUUCAAUAGUGAAAGACGGUUUUGCUGUCACUUAUAGAUGGAUCCGCGCCGCAUUAGCUAGUUGGUAAGGUAACGGCUUACCAAGGCAACGAUGCGUAGCCGACCUGAGAGGGUGAUCGGCCACACUGGAACUGAGACACGGUCCAGACUCCUACGGGAGGCAGCAGUAGGGAAUCUUCCGCAAUGGGCGAAAGCCUGACGGAGCAACGCCGCGUGAGUGAUGAAGGUCUUCGGAUCGUAAAACUCUGUUAUUGGGGAAGAACAAAUGUGUAAGUAACUAUGCACGUCUUGACGGUACCUAAUCAGAAAGCCACGGCUAACUACGU
rnacentral:rRNA from 1 species